GGGGGCUGCUCCUAGUACGAGAGGACCGGAGUGGACGCAUCACUGGUGUUCGGGUUGUCAUGCCAAUGGCACUGCCCGGUAGCUAAAUGCGGAAGAGAUAAGUGCUGAAAGCAUCUAAGCACGAAACUUGCCCCGAGAUGAGUUCUCCCUGAGACUUUAAGUCUCCUGAAGGAACGUUGAAGACGACGACGUUGAUAGGUCGGGUGUGUAAGCGCAGCGAUGCGUUGAGCUAACCGAUACUAAUGAACCGUGAGGCUUAACCUU
rnacentral:rRNA from 1 species